rnacentral:lncRNA from 1 species
UUAUUGCUUUUGUGAUAUCAUUUCUGGCUAUCAUAAGACAUGAAAAGUGUAUUCGUGCAGGAGUGGGUGGGCUAGAAAAAGGGGGCUGAGAGUUUAACAAGUUCAUUCGAUUAUAGAUUGAUAAUAUAUACAUAUUAAGCUAAAUAGAUAUUAGUUUUAUUGUUGUAUUACAGUUCCUGAAAAAGUUCAUUCUGUCGCUCCACUAAUCAUACACAGAGCUCCAUAGUCUGGUUGAUUUUUCUCUCUCGGAUGUCUUCUUAAGCUUC